AGAGUUUGAUCAUGGCUCAGAGCGAACGCUGGCGGCAGGCCUAACACAUGCAAGUCGAGCGGUCGUAGCAAUACGGCAGCGGCAGACGGGAGAGUAACACGUGGGAACGCGCCCUUCGGUUCGGGAUAACCCAGGGAAACUUGGGCUAAUACCGAAUGUGCCCUUCGGGGGAAAGAUUUAUCGCCAUUGGAGCGGCCCGCGUUGGAUUAGCUAGUUGGUGGGGUAAAGGCCCACCAAGGCUACGAUCCAUAGCUGGUCUGAGAGGAUGAUCAGCCACACUGGGACUGAGACACGGCCCAGACUCCUACGGGAGGCAGCAGUAGGGAAUCUUGCGCAAUGGGCGAAAGCCUGACGCAGCCAUGCCGCGUGAAUGAUGAAGGUCUUAGGAUUGUAAAAUUCUUUCACCGGGGAAGAUAAUGACGGUACCCGGAGAAGAAGCCCCGGCUAACUUCGUGCCAGCAGCCGCGGUAAUACGAAGGGGGCUAGCGUUGCUCGGAAUUACUGGGCGUAAAGGGCGCGUAGGCGGAUAUCUAAGUCGGGGGUGAAAGCCCAGGGCUCAACCCUGGAACAGCCUUCGAUACUGGAUAUCUUGAGUUCGGGAGAGGUGAGUGGAAUGCCGAGUGUAGAGGUGAAAUUCGUAGAUAUUCGGCGGAACACCAGUGGCGAAGGCGACUCACUGGCCCGAUACUGACGCUGAGGCGCGAA
rnacentral:rRNA from 1 species